GAUGAACGCUGGCGGCGUGCCUAAUACAUGCAAGUCGAGCGAACAGACGAGGAGCUUGCUCCUCUGACGUUAGCGGCGGACGGGUGAGUAACACGUGGAUAACCUACCUAUAAGACUGGGAUAACUUCGGGAAACCGGAGCUAAUACCGGAUAACAUGUUGAACCGCAUGGUUCAACAGUGAAAGACGGUCUUGCUGUCACUUAUAGAUGGAUCCGCGCCGCAUUAGCUAGUUGGUAAGGUAACGGCUUACCAAGGCAACGAUGGGUAGCCGACCUGAGAGGGUGGUCGGCCCCCCGGGAACCGAGACCCGCUCCAAACCCCCACGGGGGGCAGCGGUGGGAAAUCUUCCGCAAGGGGCGAAAGCCUGACGGAGACACGCCGCGUGAGUGAAAAAGGUUUUCGGACCGUAAAACCCUGUUAUUAGGGAAGAACAAAUUUGUAAGUAACUAUGCCCUUCUUGGCGGUACCUAAUAAGAAAGCCCCGGCAACCUACGU
rnacentral:rRNA from 1 species